rnacentral:tRNA from 1 species
GGAGCGGCCGGGCCCGGUGGCCCAGCCGGCCUUCAAAGCCGGUCAGCGGCGGCGAUCCCGUCGUGGGUAGGUUCGACUCCUACGCCGCUCCG